UGGGGAAUCUUGCACAAUGGGGGAAACCCUGAUGCAGCGACGCCGCGUGAGCGAUGAAGGUUUUCGAAUCGUAAAGCUCUGUCUUAUGGGAAGAUAAUGACGGUACCAUAGGAGGAAGCCCCGGCUAACUACGUGCCAGCAGCCGCGGUAAUACGUAGGGGGCGAGCGUUGUCCGGAAUUACUGGGCGUAAAGGGUUCGCAGGCGGCAUGACAAGUCCGAUGUAAAAGGCGAAAGCUCAACUUUCGUAAGCAUCGGAAACUGUCAAGCUUGAGUGAAGGAGGGGCAAGUGGAAUUCCUAGUGUAGCGGUGGAACGCGUAGAUAUUAGGAGGAAUACCGGUGGCAAAGGCGACUUGCUGGACUUCAACUGACGCUGAGGAACGAAAGCGUGGGUAGCAAACAGG
rnacentral:rRNA from 1 species